rnacentral:rRNA from 1 species
GAUGAACGCUGGCGGCGUGCCUAAUACAUGCAAGUAGAACGCUGAAGGAAGGAGCUUGCUCUUUCCGGAUGAGUUGCGAACGGGUGAGUAACGCGUAGGUAACCUGCCUGGUAGCGGGGGAUAACUAUUGGAAACGAUAGCUAAUACCGCAUAACAGUAGAUGUUGCAUGAUAUCUACUUAAAAGGUGCAAUUGCACCACUACCAGAUGGACCUGCGUUGUAUUAGCUAGGUGGUGAGGUAACGGCUCACCAAGGCGACGAUACAUAGCCGACCUGAGAGGGUGGUCGGCCACACUGGGACUGGGACACGGCCCAGACUCCUACGGGAGGCAGCAGUAGGGAAACUUCGGAAAUGGACGGAAGUCUGACCGAGCAACGCCGCGUGAGUGAAGAAGGUUUUCGGAUCGUAAAACUCUGUUGUAAGAGAAGAACGAGUGUGAGAGUGGAAAGUUCACACUGUGACGGUAUCUUACCAGAAAGGGACGGCUAACUACGUG